rnacentral:lncRNA from 1 species
UUUAGCAUGUGUUGAGUUUGUUUGUGAACAUCGUCGAUAUGCUAUUGAAUUUUCAACUUAUGAUUGUGACCUUUUUAUUCCGUUGGUGCUAUUAUGUGAUUUUGACCGUGUUAAUGUCAAUGGAAGGAGAAAGGCUGGUUGUGUUUUGCAGAUUCGUGAUAGGAUCAUAUUCAUCGAUGGAAACAUGGAUCGUGCAAUUCAAUUUGAUCAAUGCAUUGAGAGUAUAUAGGGAAG